rnacentral:lncRNA from 1 species
AAAUGGGGGCCCCAUCCCAGGCCUAACAAAUCCAUAUUUGUCUUUCUACAAAACUCUGAGUGGUUCCUAUGUAUGUUACCACUUGCAAGAUGCUGACUCGUCCACAGGAACUGGGACUAUGAACUCUGCCUUCCUACAUAUACUUUUGGAUGAAAUGCCUGAGUUCCUAACCAGCACUGUGCUCUCCCCACCUGUCUUGGUUACCAGCCGCCUGCACCCUCCAUGUUGCUAAACUGAAGGGAUAAGUCUCAGCCCAGAACCCUAACAGCAGCAGUUGACACACUAGUUUCCAUCUUGAGGACACCUUUUCCCAGGUGGCUUGCAAUAGGCUGUGCUUUCUUUGGCUUUCCCUCUUACUGGCCACCCUGUUUCAAUAUUAUUUGCUGCUUCCUUGUUAUUUUCCCAACUUCUUAAUUUUGGAGGGUUUAGAAUUCAGUCCUUGGACACCUUGGAUAUCUGCACAUAUUCCUUUGUUGAUUUAUCUAGUUCCAUGGCUUUCUGUACCAUUUAUGCUGAUGACUUCCCUUCCUUAUCUUCAGGCUUACNNNNNNNNNNNNNNNNNNNNNNNNNNNNNNNUAACAGCCUACUUGAAAAGUCUACUUGGAUGUCUAAUAAGCAUCUCAGCCUUAACAUGCUUAAAAUGAAGGC